CUGAUACCAAUAGAAACUAUAUUCAGAAAUCUAGGUUGGAGUUUAUAAAUCUUAUCAACCUGUUCCUUCUAAAAGAACUAUGAAUUCAGAAGAUUCGCAGCCAUCUAGAAAUUUUCCCAUCUCAACACAUUGUCUGUAACUGUCUCUGAACUGAAUACAGAAUAGGAGAAUUUCACCCAAAGGAUUCCUUCUAGUGGUGAAUAUGUGUCAGCCUGAGGGAAAGUACUUCUACAGAUACUGUCUUCACCCAACUGCGGAUGUCGUCUCAAGCAUAAAUCAGAAGAGAAGAGGAAAUAGCAAUCUGGUCUUAGAGAAAAUUUGUGUUUAUUUAGCUCAGUGGGAGCUCUUUCAUUUGGUUCCUGAUAUACCCUGGUAUCCUCCAUCAAAAUGGAUAAGCCUAUCAUAUUAUCUAUUUCUCUAUUAGGUAAGUUU